UACGUAGGCAGCGAGCGUUGUUUCGGAGUUAACUGGGCGUAAAGGGUGUCGCAGGCGGUGGAGCAAGUCUGAUGUCGAAAUCUCCCGGCUUUAACCGGGAAGGGUGGCGUUAGAAACUGUUUCUGCUGGAGUGAGGGAGAGGCAAGCGGAAUUCCUGGUGUAGCGGUGAAAUGCGUAGAUAUCAGGAGGAACACCCGUGGUGCAGACGGCUUGCUGGACCUCCACUGACGCUGAGGCACGAAAGCGUGGGGAGCAAACAGG
rnacentral:rRNA from 1 species